ensembl:lncRNA
CCUGAACUAAUGCUCACAUCACACACUGCAUUGAUGGAUAGAUAGUGGGGCCUGCUAGAACUGUUCCAACUCUGCUCCCCCUAACAAAGGGCGUGCCAUGGCAGAACCAAACUCUGCUGGCCCUGGCAUGAGCCUGGAGGAGGCGAAUGACAUCUGGCAGUGCGUAAAGCACAAGGUGGUCACUGAGAUGUGUGGCUCAGGCUGGACCCCGACUCCUCACCUGCAUGAUGCCCACAUGUUCCACCCGCUGUCUGUGAUCGGCAAGCGGGUGGAGCGCUCGCUCCGCCUGAGGAAGGUGCGCAGCCUCUUCCCCCUCGGGUCCCUCUCUGAGCUUGUGGUGCUGCCCAGCGACUCCGACCCAAACCCGCAGACUCUGGGCAGAGUCGCACGAGAGGGCCCGGUGCACUGCGACCUGCUGCACGAGGAGUUUCUGGACGGGGUGGGCCGCGUGAGGAUCCAGGUGAUGGACUACUGGACGGAGUCUGGUGUGCAGUCAAUGGCCCCCCACAUGCAGCUGACCCUCAGGGAGAACUUGCCCUGUCUGAACUCCGUGCACCGCCUCUACCUGGUGAGCCAGACGGUCUGCUCCUCCAGCUGUCGCAUCAGACUGCUGGGCGGCGAGCAUAACCACCAGCUGAAGCUGGAGCCAGACACCCCGCUGGGCUUCAGCUGCCUCAGGCUCUCGGUACUGCCCUCGGGCCUGGUGGAGGUAAGCAGCGGCUUUGAGAGCGGCUACCUCCACCCCAAGGUUCGCUGGACCCGCUACGGCUCACCUGAAUAUGAGAGGCUUACGGGAGGGAUGGCCACCGAGCCCAGAGUGAUGGGCAUGCUCUCUCAGCUUGCUUUCUCUAUUACGCACCCUUCCACCAUGUCUCUGUCUGGGCCGAUCUCAGUGAGCCAGGAGACCCUUAGACCGGGACCCGAGCAGCCGGAAGACAACCCUGAGGAGGCCUUACUCCCUCUGGAUGAAGAGUGAGGGAGACUAAGGUCCACGAAGGAGAGGAAGGGGAGGAGGAACAGAGUAUAAAGAAAGAAAAUAAACCUCUCCAAGAGGGGUUGAAUAAUGAUGAAAGAAGAAGAGAAAACGGCAGGAAUGGGACAGAGAGGAUAUCGUGGCAAGGGGAAGGUUUCCUUCUUUCAACUGAUUAAAGCUCUA